ACCAGCAUUUAAGGAAUUUAUGUUUCA
rnacentral:piRNA from 1 species